rnacentral:rRNA from 1 species
GACGGAAGGUGCAAACGUUGCUCGGAAUUACUGGGCGUAAAGCGCGUGUAGGCGGCCCUGCAAGUCGGGUGUGAAAUCCCAUGGCUCAACUAUGGAAGUGCACUCGAAACUGCAGGGCUAGAGUCCUGGAGAGGAAGGUGGAAUGCUUGGUGUAGAGGUGAAAUUCGUAGAUAUCAAGCGGAACACCGGUGGCGAAGGCGGCCUUCUGGACAGUGACUGACGCUGAGACGCGAAAGCGUGGGGAGCAAACAGG